AUGGGCGUGCAGUGUGGAGGGGAGGAUGUCCCUUACAACCUCCCUACUGAAGCUGAUAUUGAGUUAGAGCUUGAGUUGUUCGGCGAACUUGGAUAUGCCCCUAAAAUGACUGAUCUUGUUGAUCUCAUAAAGGGUUCUGUAAAUGCUGAUGAUACUUUCAAGCGUAUGUGGCUUUUGCUUGCUGGGAAUACAGUCAUUGCCCCGGCCACCUCCAACAAAGUCAGCCCUAGAUGGUAUGCUGUGCUGCGUGACAUCAAUGGUAUUAAAAAUCUCAAUUGGUCCAAAUUCAUCACUGACGAAUUACACCAGGCGCUGCUGAAACACAAGCCUACCAGGGAUUGCCUUCUCUUCUACAAUCUGCAUCAGGGUAUUCUACCGUUGGAUCAACUGAGUGAGCUUCGGCAGGAAAGCAAAUCCAUUUUCACGUCUCAGAGGCAUCUGAUGGGUUUAGAAAAGAUGAGAAAACAGAAUAGAAUGAGAUCUAGAGGGAAAACACUACCCAUAUGCACAUGA
rnacentral:rRNA from 1 species